rfam:Salmo salar isolate Sally breed double haploid chromosome ssa24, whole genome shotgun sequence.
UGCACUCACUAUUGUAAGUCGCUCUGGAUAAGAGCAUUAGCUAAAUGACUAAAA